UACAGAGGUCUCAAGCGUUGUUCGGAUUCAUUGGGCGUAAAGGGUGUGUAGGCGGCUCCGUAAGUCGGGUGUGAAAUUUCGGAGCUUAACUCCGAAACUGCAUUCGAUACUGCGGUGCUUGAGGACUGGAGAGGAGACUGGAAUUCCUGGUGUAGCGGUGAAAUGCGCAGAUAUCAGGAGGAACACCGGUGGCGAAGGCGGGUCUCUGGGCCGUAACUGACGCUGAGGAGCGAAAGCGUGGGGAGCGAACAGG
rnacentral:rRNA from 1 species